rnacentral:tmRNA from 1 species
GGGGAUGAGACGAUCGACGGGAUAGUACUUUAAAAACUGCAAGCCGAGGUGAUUGUACUCGCAAAAUCAAUCAAAACAAAACUGUCAGUAAUGAUGGUGAAAAAGAAGAUAUUUUAGCUUUAGCUGACCGAGUCCUCGGAAAGCUUGAAGCACGAAAUGCUUCUUUAGCUUACGCUGCAAAUUAUUUGCAGGUCUAAGCUCAUCUGUAUUUGUCUUUUUCUGAUGGGAUGAUGCAGGUGUAAACACAGUCAGAAUGCACCCCGGUAAUUGACAGACAUCGGGGUAAAGACUUUGUCUUACUUUUUUUAUUGAUUGUCCGUUGGGACAAUAAGAAAAGGACAUUAUAACAACGGACUACGCUUGUAGAAGUUUUUAUAGUGCGUCUUCGGACUCCGGAUCACCUCCGGACAUCUCCACCC